rnacentral:tRNA from 1 species
GCCCCCAUAGCCCAACCGGCAGAGGCAGGCGGCUUAAACCCGCUCAAGUCUGGGUUCGAAUCCCAGUGGGGGCACC